rnacentral:rRNA from 1 species
AUUGAACGCUGGCGGCAGGCUUAACACAUGCAAGUCGAGCGGUGUGAUGGUGCUUGCACUAUCACUUAGCGGCGGACGGGUGAGUGAUGCUUAGGAAUCUGCCUAUUAGUGGGGGACAGCAUCUCGAAAGGGAUGCUAAUACCGCAUACGUCCUACGGGAGAAAGCAGGGGAUCACUUGUGACCUUGCGCUAAUAGAUGAGCCUAAGUCGGAUUAGCUAGUUGGUGGGGUAAAGGCCUACCAAGGCGACGAUCUGUAGCGGGUCUGAGAGGAUGAUCCGCCACACUGGGACUGAGACACGGCCCAGACUCCUACGGGAGGAAGCAGUGGGGAAUAUUGGACAAUGGGGGGAACCCUGAUCCAGCCAUGCCGCGUGUGUGAAGAAGGCCUUAUGGUUGUAAAGCACUUUAAGCGAGGAGGAGGCUCUUUUGGUUAAUACCCAAGAUGCGUGGACGUUACUCGCAGAAUAAGCACCGGCUAACUCUGUGCCAGCCGCCGCAGUAA